rnacentral:rRNA from 1 species
UUAAAAAGCUCGUAGUUGAAUUUCGGGAUUAGUACGUUGGUCGUGCCUUCGGUACGUACUGGUGUUACUGAUUCCUACCUUCUGACGAACCAUCAUGUCAUUAAUUUGGUGUGGCGGGGAAUCAGGACUGUUACUUUGAAAAAAUUAGAGUAUUUAAAGCAGGCUCGCGCCUGAAUACAUUAGCAUGGAAUAAUGAAAUAGGACGUUGAUCCUAUUUUGUUGGUUUCUAGAAUUGACGUAAUGAUUAAUAGGGAUAGUUGGGGG